rnacentral:rRNA from 1 species
AGUCGAACGGCAGCAUGGAGAGCUUGCUCUCUGAUGGCGAGUGGCGAACGGGUGAGUAAUACAUCGGAACGUGUCCGUUUGUGGGGGACAACCGUCCGAAAGGAUGGCUAAUACCGCAUAAGACCUGAGGGUGAAAGCCGGGGACCGCAAGGCCCGGCGCAGACGGAGCGGCCGAUGAUUGAUUAGCUAGUUGGGGAGGUAAAGGCUCACCAAGGCGACGAUCAAUAGCUGGUCUGAGAGGACGACCAGCCACACUGGAACUGAGACACGGUCCAGACUCCUACGGGAGGCAGCAGUGGGGAAUUUUGGACAAUGGGGGCAACCCUGAUCCAGCCAUGCCGCGUGCGGGAAGAAGGCCUUCGGGUUGUAAACCGCUUUUGUCAGGGACGAAAAGCUCCGGAGUAAUAUGCCGGAGUGCUGACGGUACCUGAAGAAUAAGCACCGGCUAACUACGUGCCAGCAGCCGCGGUAAUACGUAGGGUGCAAGCGUUAAUCGGAAUUACUGGGCGUAAAGCGUGCGCAGGCGGUUGGGUAAGACAGAUGUGAAAUCCCCGGGCUUAACCUGGGAACUGCAUUUGUGACUGUCCGACUGGAGUACGUCAGAGGGGGGUGGAAUUCCACGUGUAGCAGUGAAAUGCGUAGAUAUGUGGAAGAACACCGAUGGCGAAGGCAGCCCC